UCAAAACUGGGGAUAGAUACCCCACUAUGCUUAGCCCUAAACCUAGAUAGUUAGCCCAAACAAAACUAUCCGCCAGAGAACUACUAGCAACAGCUUAAAACUCAAAGGACUUGGCGGUGCUUUAUAUCCCUCUAGAGGAGCCUGUUCUAUAAUCGAUAAACCCCGAUAAACCUCACCAUCUCUUGUUAAUUCAGCCUAUAUACCGCCAUCUUCAGCAAACCCUAAAAAGGAAGAAAAGUAAGCACAAGUGUCUUAACACAAAAAAGUUAGGUCAAGGUGUAGCCUAUGAGAUGGGAAGCAAUGGGCUACAUUUUCUACAACUAGAACAUCCACGAAAAUCCUUAUGAAAUUAAGUAUUCAAGGAGGAUUUAGUAGUAAAUUUGAGAAUAGAGAGCUCAAUUGAAUCGGGCCAUGAAGCACGCACACACCGCCGGUCACCCUC
rnacentral:rRNA from 1 species